rnacentral:rRNA from 1 species
UAAUACGUAGGGACCAAGCGUUGUUCGGAUUUACUGGGCGUAAAGGGCGCGUAGGCGGCGUGACAAGUCACUUGUGAAAUCUCCGGGCUUAACCCGGAACUGCCAAGUGAUACUGUCGUGCUAGAGUGCGGAAGGGGCAAUCGGAAUUCUCGGUGUAGCGGUGAAAUGCGUAGAUAUCGAGAGGAACACCUGAGGUGAAGACGGGUUGCUGGGCCGACACUGACGCUGAGUGCG